rnacentral:ncRNA from 1 species
AGAAUAUUUCAUUGAUGUAAAAAGUUAGUUUUACCAAUUAAACUACAUAUGGCAGCCCAUACGUUUUGUGAGAUGAAUUAUUUUUAGUUAACUUUAAAAAUUAACAUUAAAAAUAGCUCAAUGAAGUUAACCUUUUAACUUUUAAACCAAUCACAACACCAAUGUACUAUAUUAUACUAGCUAGGAAACUAGGCCAUAGAAAAUAAGUAAAAGGGGUGACUAAAGAUGGUGCCAGCAGUCGCGGUUACACCAAUACCCCAAGCUAAUUUUAACAAAUCGGAGUAGUUUUCUUCUGCGGAUUACAAAAUUAACCUUUAGCGUAAAAAACAAAUUUCAACUAAACCCUACCUAAUCCUAAUUAGCUACUCCAACAAACCAUAACCUCAGAACUCGGAUUAGAUACCCGACUACUGUAUGGCCCAACUUAUAAAAGAAUACUACGAGCGAAAGCUUAAACCUCAAACAAUGUGGCGGUGCUUUAUUCCUCAUCAGGGGAUCCUGUGACUUAAUUCGAUAAUCCACGAAAAUCUUAGCUAUUUUAGACAUACAGCUUGUGUAUGGCCGUUUAUGCUUGCUCUCAAAAGAUUAAAAAGGAAGCAAUAGGGCUAAUUACCCAAUAAUUCAGGUGACAUACAGCCAAUAUAUAGCAGGUACAUGGGAUACAAAUAAUCAUCCUAUCAGAUUUAAAGCUUUAAAUUUUAAUAAAGGAGGACUUGAAAGUAAGAUUUACGUUUCCAAAAAAUAAAUCUGAAUAAGAACUAAAGCGCGCACAAAUCGCCCGUCACUCCGACAAUAAAGUAGGAUAAGUCGUAACACAGUAGGGGUAAUGGAAAUUGUCCCUAUCAUA